rnacentral:rRNA from 1 species
UACGUAGGGGGCAAGCGUUGUCCGGAAUCAUUGGGCGUAAAGAGCGUGUAGGCGGCUCGGUAAGUCCGCUGUGAAAGUCCAGGGCUCAACCCUGGAAUGCCGGUGGAAACUGUCGAGCUAGAGUCCGGAAGAGGCGAGUGGAAUUCCUGGUGUAGCGGUGAAAUGCGCAGAUAUCAGGAGGAACACCAAUGGCGAAGGCAGCUCGCUGGGACGGUACUGACGCUGAGACGCGAAAGCGUGGGGAGUAAACAGG